rnacentral:rRNA from 1 species
AAGGUAAUAAUCCUGUAGUCGAAAAUGUUGUCUCUCUUGAGUGGAUCCUGAGUACGACGGAGCACGUGAAAUUCCGUCGGAAUCUGGGAGGACCAUCUCCUAAGGCUAAAUACUCUCUAGUGACCGAUAGUGAACCAGUACCGUGAGGGAAAGGUGAAAAGCACCCCGGAAGGGGAGUGAAAUAGAACCUGAAACCGUGUGCUUACAAGUAGUCAGAGCCCGUUAAUGGGUGAUGGCGUGCCUUUUGUAGAAUGAACCGGCGAGUUACGAUUUGAUGCAAGGUUAAGCAGUAAAUGUGGAGCCGUAGCGAAAGCGAGUCUGAAUAGGGCGUUUAGUAUUUGGUCGUAGACCCGAAACCAGGUGAUCUACCCUUGGUCAGGUUGAAGUUCAGGUAACACUGAAUGGAGGACCGAACCGACUUACGUUGAAAAGUGAGCGGAUGAACUGAGGGUAGCGGAGAAAUUCCAAUCGAACCUGGAGAUAGCUGGUUCUCUCCGAAAUAGCUUUAGGGCUAGCCUCAAGUGAUGAUUAUUGGAGGUAGAGCACUGUUUGGACGAGGGGCCCCUCUCGGGUUACCGAAUUCAGACAAACUCCGAAUGCCAAUUAAUUUAACUUGGGAGUCAGAACAUGGGUGAUAAGGUCCGUGUUCGAAAGGGAAACAGCCCAGACCACCAGCUAAGGUCCCAAAAUAUAUGUUAAGUGGAAAAGGAUGUGGCGUUGCCCAGACAACUAGGAUGUUGGCUUAGAAGCAGCCAUCAUUUAAAGAGUGCGUAAUAGCUCACUAGUCGAGUGACACUGCGCCGAAAAUGUACCGGGGCUAAACAUAUUACCGAAGCUGUGGAUUGUCCUUUGGACAAUGGUAGGAGAGCGUUCUAAGGGCGUUGAAGCAUGAUCGUAAGGACAUGUGGAGCGCUUAGAAGUGAGAAUGCCGGUGUGAGUAGCGAAAGACGGGUGAGAAUCCCGUCCACCGAUUGACUAAGGUUUCCAGAGGAAGGCUCGUCCGCUCUGGGUUAGUCGGGUCCUAAGCUGAGGCCGACAGGCGUAGGCGAUGGAUAACAGGUUGAUAUUCCUGUACCACCUAUA